rnacentral:rRNA from 1 species
GACGAACGCUGGCGGCGUGCUUAACACAUGCAAGUCGAACGGUAAGGCCCUUCGGGGUACACGAGUGGCGAACGGGUGAGUAACACGUGGGUGAUCUGCCCUGCACUUCGGGAUAAGCCUGGGAAACUGGGUCUAAUACCGGAUAGGACCACUGCCUGCAUGGGUGGUGGUGGAAAGCUCUUGCGGUGUGGGAUGGGCCGGGGGCCUAUCAGCUUGUUGGUGGGGUAAUGGCCUACCAAGGCGACGACGGGUAGCCGGCCUGGGAGGUUGACCGGCCACACUGGGACUGAGGUACGGCCCAGACUCCUACGGGAGGCAGCAGUGGGGAAUAUUGCCCAAUGGGCGCAAGCCUGAUGCAGCGACGCCGCGUGAGGGAUGACGGCCUUCGGGUUGUAAACCUCUUUCAGCAUCGACGAAGCGAAAGUGACGGUAGGUGCAGAAGAAGGACCGGCCAACUACGUGCCAGCAGCCGCCGUAA